rnacentral:rRNA from 1 species
ACGUAGGUCACAAGCGUUGUCCGGAAUUACUGGGUGUAAAGGGAGCGCAGGCGGGAAGACAAGUUGGAAGUGAAAUCCAUGGGCUCAACCCAUGAACUGCUUUCAAAACUGUUUUUCUUGAGUAGUGCAGAGGUGGGCGGAAUUCCCGGUGUAGCGGUGGAAUGCGUAGAUAUCGGGAGGAACACCAGUGGCGAAGGCGGCCUACUGGGCACAAACUGACGCUGAGGCUCGAAAGUGUGGGUAGCAAACAG